GCCUCAGUAACGGCGAGUGAAGCGGCAAGAGCUCAAAUUUGAAAGCUGGCCCCCUCGGGGUCCGCAUUGUAAUUUGCAGAGGAUGCUUCGGGAGUGGCCCCCAUCUAAGUGCUCUGGAACGGGCCGUCAUAGAGGGUGAGAAUCCCGUAUGGGAUGGGGUGUCCGCGACCAUGUGAAGCUCCUUCGACGAGUCGAGUUGUUUGGGAAUGCAGCUCUAAAUGGGUGGUAAAUUUCAUCUAAAGCUAAAUAUUGGCCGGAGACCGAUAGCGCACAAGUAGAGUGAUCGAAAGAUGAAAAGCACUUUGAAAAGAGAGUUAAAAAGCACGUGAAAUUGUUGAAAGGGAAGCGCUUGCGACCAGACUCGCCUACGGGGUUCAGCCGGUAUUCGUACCGGUGUACUUCCCCGUGGGCGGGCCAGCGUCGGUUUGGGCGGCCGGUCAAAGGCCCUCGGAAUGUAACGCCUCUCGGGGCGUCUUAUAGCCGAGGGUGCCAUGCGGCCAGCCCGGACCGAGGAACGCGCUUCGGCACGGACGCUGGCAUAAUGGUCGUAAGCGACCCGUCUUGAAACACGGACCAAGGAGUCUAACAUCUACGCGAGUGUUCGGGUGUCAAACCCGUGCGCGCAGUGAAAGCGAACGGAGGUGGGAACCCUCACGGGUGCACCAUCGACCGAUCCUGAUGUCUUCGGAUGGAUUUGAGUAAGAGCGUAGCUGUUGGGACCCGAAAGAUGGUGAACUAUGCCUGAAUAGGGCGAAGCCAGAGGAAACUCUGGUGGAGGCUCGCAGCGGUUCUGACGUGCAAAUCGAUCGUCAAAUUUGGGUAUAGGGGCGAAAGACUAAUCGAACCAUCUAGUAGCUGGUUC
rnacentral:rRNA from 1 species